AUUGAACGCUGGCGGCAUGCUUUACACAUGCAAGUCGAACGGCAGCGCGGGCUUCGGCCUUGCGGCGCGUGGCGAACGGGGGAGUAAUGCGUCGGAACGUGCCCAGUAGUGGGGGCUAGCCCGGCGAGAGACGGAUUGAUACCGCAUACUACCUGAGGGUGAAAUCGAGGGUCCGAAAGGCCUCGCGCUAAUGGAGCAGCCGAUGUCGGAUUAGCUAGUUGGUCGGGUUAAGGCUUACCAAGGCGGCGAUCCGUAGCUGGACGGAGAGGAAGACCGGCCACACUGGAACUGGGACCCGGCCCAGACUCCUACGGGAGGCAGCGGUGGGGAAUUUUGGACAAUGGGGGCAAUCCUGAUCCAGCCAUGCGGCGUGCGGGAAGAAGGCCUUCGGGUUUUAAACCGCGUUUGUUCGGGAAGAAAUCCUCUGGGCUAAUACCCCGGGGGGAUGACGGUACCGGAAGAAUAAGCACCGGCUAACUACGUG
rnacentral:rRNA from 1 species